CAGAGUUUUUAAUUUAUAACAUAAAUAUUUUAAAAUAACAGGUUUCCUUUGUAAUUCUGUAUAUUUUUUUUAUUUUAUGCACUUAAAAACAUUCUGAGAAAGGCUCUAUAGCUGCGUUGGUGAACCUAUGGUAUGUGUGCCAGAGGAGGCUGCUGAGGACAUUUUUCAUAUCACCCUCCCCUCUGCCCAGCAGUUCAGUGGAAACACUUCUUCCCUCUCCUCUCUGGGGUAAGGUGGCAGCUCACAUGGGGCAUGAGGGUUGCAUUUGGGGCCAUUGUUCUCUAAAAGGUUCACCACCACAAGUCUAUAGGAUUCACUGAAUGCCAAAGAGAUCUGUGACACAAAAGAAAUUUUAAAACUAAUAUUUUAGAGCUAUAAUGACAGCUAAGGAUUGUAAAAAUUGAAAUAUGAACCUGAAUCAAAAGGAUCAUAGUUCCGUAUUCUUUUCACCUCUAUAUGGCCAAAUCACAAAUGUAUUGAUUCUCAGGCACUCUUGUUUUUGGAAUGUUACAGGAAAGCAGAGGAUAGAGCACUGGGCCUGAAGUCAGAAAGACUCAUCUACAGUAUCUUUGCCAAGAAAGCUCCAUGUCGAGUCAUAAAAGUCAGGCACAACUGCAAAAAUGAAUCCACAGCAACAAUUAUGAACAAACGUCCAACAAUUGGAGAGUCAAUUCAAGGAUGGUUGCUUUUAGUAAUAGAAGAUUUAAGAGGGUUUUCUUUAAAAACAUUUGAUUGUUCUGUUGCUGCUCCUCAUGAAGUUCUUGUGAAGAAAAGAAAAAAAAAAGAUAAACAAGUAAAGGACAAAAUCACCAC
rnacentral:lncRNA from 1 species